rnacentral:lncRNA from 1 species
GUUUGACCUGUGGAUGAAAUGAAUCAUGAUUUUCAAGCUCUUGCAUUAGAAUCUCGGGGAAUGGGAGAGCUUUUGCCUACCAAAAAAUUUUGGGAACCUGAUGAUUCAACAAAAGAUGGACAAAAAGGCAUAUUUCUUGGGGAUGAUGAAUGGAGAGAGACUGCAUGGGGAACUUCUCAUCAUUCAAUGUCCCAGCCUAUUAUGGUACAGAGAAGAUCUGGACAGAGUUUUCAUGGAAACAGUGAAGUAAAUGCAAUUCUUUCUCCGCGCUCAGAAAGUGGAGGCCUUGGCGUGAGCAUGGUAGAAUAUGUAUUAAGUUCCUCUCCUGCUGAUAAAUUGGAUUCUCGAUUUAGGAAGGGAACUUUUGGUACUAGAGAUGCUGAAACAGAUGGACCUGAGAAAGGAGAUCAAAAAUGGCAGAGGUUUGCCAAAUGGAAUGGAUGCCGAUUGCAAAGAUUUUAAGUAAGAUUUUUUAACUUUUUCAAGAAGAAAAGCAUUUCUUUUAGGAGUUAUUACAGUUAGUUGAUGUGAUUGAUUUAGAUGGUUUUUCCAAUUUAGGGUUACUUUUAUUUCCUUUGUGCCUUGUCUUAAUCUGGAUGAAUUUUUUUUAAAUAAAA